GUCAGUCCCCUGUGUCUUCGGAACUGUAAGGGCAUGUGUGACGCGCAGUGUUGUCCAACGUUGAACGCUAUUCUUUGCACGCUUGUACAUCCGGUGAAAGGUAAACUAAGCGGAAAUCAAUAGGAAAACACACGAGAAACUACAUCUAAAAUUGAACUACAGCAAGGCAACCCGCCCAGCUCUCCAGGCUCUUCGAACACCAUAACCGGAAACAUCGAUCGAAUCGGAUGUUUAUUGACACCGUUGCACAUUCUCGGGAAAUUGGGUUCGAUCGGACUGGAAGAAAAAGUGAAUGUAAAUUAUGUUUAUUUGUCGUCAUGUUUCUUUGCUCUUCAAUCAAUACCAUGUCCUCAGCGCGUUCCAUCUUCGAAUAAUGGGCGUAUUGGUUCGGCGGGCAGCCAAAUAAUCAUAAGGGCCACUAUGCGCCACCGACGAUAUGCGCAUUGAUGUUUGCUUUUUAAAGAAAAGAUUUACCACAGAAUGAAUGAAAAUGGUAUCCUGCAUAAACAUUCAGCAUCGUACGACAACUCUACAUUGCAAAGCAUCAUGAGCAUCGGAACUUAUUGGACACGGAACUAUCCUUAACGAAAUUGCCACAUAGCCCCGAAACUUAGUGCUAGAUGACGCUCGAAAAUCCCGAAGCCUGGCCAGGAUCGCUGGUAUAAUAUAGUCACCAGCCUGUGUUUACCGUGUUUAAGUGUUUACCGAACAUGGUUGUUGUUUGCACUUGUUGCUUUUUAUAAAUAGGCGCAGUGGACCUUUGAUCAUGAACCGGCCGUGCUCGUUCAUUCAUAAAAUUGCUCUUCAGCUCGUUGGAUAUUGAUGUACUGGGGUAGAGUGCGUGUGUGCUUUGUGUUUGAAAAGUACCGAAACAGUUUGUGCAAAUAUUUACAGAUCAGUCUUAAGACAGCGUAUGUUUGUAGAACUAUCAGUGUAGGCCGGAAAGAUGUCACAGUAAGCAUGGCAAUUUACCUGAUAUACAUGAAUGAAUACCAACUAAUUUUAGUUCAUAUAAUAUGAUUAAAUUACUUUUUAAGCAAUACGGCAAAGCCAUCCGUCCUGAAUAAAAAAAUGGUUAAAUUAGGACACAAAAAA